UACGUAGGGGGCAAGCGUUGUCCGGAAUCAUUGGGCGUAAAGAGCGUGUAGGCGGCCAGAAAAGUCCGCUGUGAAAACUCGAGGCUCAACUUCGAGCUGUCGGUGGAAACUUUCUGGCUAGAGUCCGGAAGAGGAGAAUGGAAUUCCUGGUGUAGCGGUGAAAUGCGCAGAUAUCAGGAAGAACACCGGUGGCGAAGGCGGGUCUCUGGGCCGAUACUGACGCUGAGGAGCGAAAGCGUGGGGAGCGAACAGG
rnacentral:rRNA from 1 species